UCGGGAAUUUUGCGCAAUGGGCGAAAGCCUGACGCAGCAACGCCGCGUGAGGGAUGAAGGCCUUCGGGUUGUAAACCUCUUUUCUCAGGGACGAUGAUGACGGUACCUGAGGAAUAAGCCACGGCUAACUACGUGCCAGCAGCCGCGGUAAUACGUAGGUGGCGAGCGUUGUCCGGAUUUACUGGGCGUAAAGAGCGCGCAGGCGGUCGGUCAAGUCGAGUGUGAAAGCCCCCGGCUCAACUGGGGAGGGUCAUUCGAUACUGAUCGACUCGAAGGCAGGAGAGGGAAGUGGAAUUCCCGGUGUAGUGGUGAAAUGCGUAGAUAUCGGGACGAACACCAGUGGCGAAGGCGACUUCCUGGCCUGUUCUUGACGCUGAGGCGCGAAAGCUAGGGGAGCAAACGGGAUUAGAUACCCCGGUAGUCCUAGCCGUAAACGAUGGACACUAGGUGUUGGUGGUAUCAACCCGCCAGUGCCGAAGCUAACGCAUUAAG
rnacentral:rRNA from 1 species